CAGAGUAGGUUGCCGUGCGUAAAGUGCCGAAAGGACGGGGAGUUGUCUUUCGGACGAAAAGAUCGCCUUGCGGUACGGCUUCCGCAUCCCGCUG
rnacentral:ncRNA from 1 species